UCCCUGAUAGCACAGUUGGUAGAGCUCUGCCUGCAAUGCAGGAGACCCAGGUUCAAUUCCUGACUUGGGAA
rnacentral:tRNA from 1 species